UUGAGUUUGAUCCUGGCUCAGAUUGAACGCUGGCGGCAGGCCUAACACAUGCAAGUCGAGCGGAAACGAUGGAAGCUUGCUUCCAGGCGUCGAGCGGCGGACGGGUGAGUAAUGCAUAGGAAUCUGCCCGAUAGUGGGGGAUAACGUGGGGAAACCCACGCUAAUACCGCAUACGUCCUACGGGAGAAAGCAGGGGAUCUUCGGACCUUGCGCUAUCGGAUGAGCCUAUGUCGGAUUAGCUAGUUGGUGAGGUAAUGGCUCACCAAGGCGACGAUCCGUAGCUGGUCUGAGAGGAUGAUCAGCCACACUGGGACUGAGACACGGCCCAGACUCCUACGGGAGGCAGCAGUGGGGAAUAUUGGACAAUGGGGGAAACCCUGAUCCAGCCAUGCCGCGUGUGUGAAGAAGGCCUUCGGGUUGUAAAGCACUUUCAGCGAGGAAGAAGGCCUGAGAGUUAAUACCCUUCAGGAAGGACAUCACUCGCG
rnacentral:rRNA from 1 species